rnacentral:rRNA from 1 species
AUUGAACGCUGGCGGCAGGCUUAACACAUGCAAGUCGAGCGAGCGGCGGACGGGUGAGGAAUUUCUGGGAAACUUCCUGAUGGAGGGGGAUAAAUACUUGAAACGGUAGCUGAUAACGCAUACCUUCUGACGUGCCCGAAUGGGAUUAGCUAGUAGGUGGGGUAAUGGCUCACCUAGGCGACGAUCCGUAGCAGGUCUGAGAGGAUGACCAGCCACACUGGAACUGAGACACGGUCCAGACUCCUACGGGAGGCAGCAGUGGGGAAUAUUGCACAAUGGGGGCAAGCCUGAUGCAGCCAUGCCGCGUGUGUGAAGAAGGCCUUCGGGUUGUAAAGCACUUUCAUCGAGGAGGCGUUACUCGCAGAAGAAGCACCGGCUAACUCCGUGCCAGCAGCCGCGGUAAUUC